GAUGAACGCUGGCGGCGUGCCUAAUACAUGCAAGUCGAGCGAACAGACGAGGAGCUUGCUCCUCUGACGUUAGCGGCGGACGGGUGAGUAACACGUGGAUAACCUACCUAUAAGACUGGGAUAACUUCGGGAAACCGGAGCUAAUACCGGAUAAUAUAUUGAACCGCAUGGUUCAAUAGUGAAAGACGGUUUUGCUGUCACUUAUAGAUGGAUCCGCGCCGCAUUAGCUAGUUGGUAAGGUAACGGCUUACCAAGGCAACGAUGCGUAGCCGACCUGAGAGGGUGAUCGGCCACACUGGAACUGAGACGCGGUCCAGACGCCUGCGGGAGGCAGCAGUAGGGAAUCUUCCGCAAUGGGCGAAAGCCUGACGGAGCAACGGCGCGUGAGUGAUGAAGGUCUUCGGAUCGUAAAACUCUGUUAUUAGGGAAGAACAAAUGUGUAAGUAACUAUGCACGUCUUGACGGUACCUAAUCAGAAAGCCACGGCUAACUACGUG
rnacentral:rRNA from 1 species